rnacentral:rRNA from 1 species
CCCGCACAAGCGGUGGAUGAUGUGGAUUAAUUCGAUGCAACGCGAAGAACCUUACCUACCCUUGACAUGCCAGGAAUCCCGCAGAGAUGUGGGAGUGCCCGAAAGGGAAUCUGGACACAGGUGCUGCAUGGCUGUCGUCAGCUCGUGUCGUGAGAUGUUGGGUUAAGUCCCGCAACGAGCGCAACCCUUAUCCCCAGUUGCCAUCAGGUAAAGCUGGGAACUCUGGGGAGACUGCCGGUGAUAAACCGGAGGAAGGCGGGGAUGACGUCAAGUCCUCAUGGCCCUUACAUCCCGGGCUACACACGUGCUACAAUGGCAGGUACAGAGGGCUGCAAAGCCGCGAGGUAGAGCGAAUCCCAGAAAACCUGUCUCAGUCCGGAUUGAAGUCUGCAACUCGACUUCAUGAAGGCGGAAUCGCUAGUAACCGCGAAUCAGCAGGUCGCGGUGAAUACGUUCCCGGGCCUU